rnacentral:rRNA from 1 species
GACGAACGCUGGCGGCGUACUUAACACAUGCAAGUCGAACGGAAAGGCCCUGCUUUUGUGGGGUGCUCGAGUGGCGAACGGGUGAGUAACACGUGAGUAACCUGCCCUUGACUUUGGGAUAACUUCAGGAAACUGGGGCUAAUACCGGAUAGGAGCUCCUGCUGCAUGGUGGGGGUUGGAAAGUUUCGGCGGUUGGGGAUGGACUCGCGGCUUAUCAGCUUGUUGGUGGGGUAGUGGCUUACCAAGGCUUUGACGGGUAGCCGGCCUGAGAGGGUGGCCGGCCACAUUGGGACUGAGAUACGGCCCAGACUCCUACGGGAGGCAGCAGUGGGGAAUAUUGCACAAUGGGCGGAAGCCUGAUGCAGCAACGCCGCGUGCGGGAUGACGGCCUUCGGGUUGUAAACCGCUUUCGCCUGUGACGAAGCGUGAGUGACGGUAAUGGGGAAAGAAGCACCGGCUAACUACGU